rnacentral:lncRNA from 1 species
CAAAAUGGUGAUUUAGCCCCAAAAAUGUCAUUCCAAGCUCAUGACUUCCAAAAUGACUCAUAAAGCUCCAAGGGUUAAGGUCUUUGGACCUCUUUGGGUCCAGAUCCAGAACACAAACUCGAGGAGGGACCAAAUACACCACUUAAUCAAUCUCUAAAAGGGUUAGGAAAACCCUAACACUAAGAAUCAACACCAAAACUGAAGAAGGUCCGAGAAUAAUACCUCAAUGCAAUCUCUAUGAGCUCAAAACCACCAAAAAUCGCACCUCCUUCAGCCUCCUCUUGCCUUAAACACUUCCUUCUUGCAAAAACACCCACCAAAUAUCAAGAUUGGCCUCUCCUUCCUCACAAACGCUCUAGAUCUCUUUAGGGUUUCUCUCUGGGGUGGAUGGCCGCAAAUGACGGCCAUAAGGCCCUUUAAAUAGGUCUUAAACCCUGGAAAUUAGGGUUUCAUUAAACAACGUGGACUCGCCGAGUCUAGCUGUGAACUCGCGUACAAAUCCACGACUAUACUCGGCGUGUGUAGACGCCAACUCGCCGAGUUCCCCCACAAUACCCAAAAAUAAAAGAACAAAAUAUCAUACAUGGGAAUCCGGGUGUUACAAUUCUCCCCCACUAGAAUCAGACUUCGCCCUCGAAGUCUCACUCUGCAAACAACUCCGGAUGCUGCUCCCGCAUCUCACGCUCCGGUUCCCAAGUCAACUCUGACCCUUUCCGAUGUUGCCACUAGACCUGCACCAACGACACUUCUUUGUUCCUCAAAACCUUGAUCUUCUGAUCCCUGAUCACCACCGGUCUCUCGGCAUACUUCAGGCUCGCAUCCACCUGAAUAUCUUCUAAUGGCACCACUGCCGACUCGUCGGCUAUACACUUUCGCAACUGUGAUACAUGGAAAGUGUCAUGAAUCUGACUUAACUCUGCUGGCAACUCCAAACGAUAGGCUACCUUGCCUACCCUCGCGAUCACCCUGAAAGGUCCAAUAUAUUGGGGCCCCAACUAUCCCCUCUUCCUGAACCGGAUCAAUCCUUUCCAAGGAGAGACCUUCAGGAGUACGAAGUCGCCGACCUGAAACUCGAGCUCGGACCGGCGUCUGUCCGCAUAACUCUUCUGAUGACUCUGAGCGGUCAACAGCCUCUGCCUGACCUGCUGGAUCUGCUCUGUCGUCUGAAGCACAAUCUCGGUGCUGCCCAUCACACGCUGCCCUACUUCUCCCCAGCAAAUAGGGGUUCGACACCUCCUCCCAUAAAACAGCUCAAAGGGCGGCAUGCCAAUGCUCGAAUGAUGGCUGUUGUUAUAAGAAAACUCCGCCAAGGGCAAAUAUGUGUCCCAACUCCCGCUAAAAUCCAACACACAUGCCCGGAGGAUGUCCUCGAGCGUUUGAAUCGUCCGCUCACUCUGCCCGUCAGUCUGUGGGUGGUAUGCAGUACUAAAAUGCAGUUUCGUACCCAAUUCCUCAUGAAACUUCUUCCAGAAUCUGGAAGUGAAACGUACAUCUAGAUCUGAGACAAUCGAGAUCGGUACUCCAUGCCGCGAUACCACCUCUCUCACGUACAUCUCUACCAACUUCUCCGCGAAAGAGCUCUCACUGAUGGCCAGGAAGUGAGCACUCUUCGUCAAUCUGUCCACAAUCACCCAAAUUGCAUCGACACCACUCGCGGUUCUUGGCAAUUUGGUGAUGAAAUCCAUGGUAAUCUAUUCCCAUUUCCAUUUGGGAAUCUCUAAUGGCUGCAGCUUACCAUGUGGACGCUGGUGUUCGGCCUUCACCCUGCGACAGGUCAAGCACCUCUCCACAAACCAUGCGACAUCCCUCUUCAUACAGGGCCACCAAUAAUCCUUUUUCAGGUCUAAAAACAUCUUAGUGGCCCCGAGAUGGAUCGAGAAUUUCGAUUGAUGAGCCUCUUCCAAAAAAUGGUACGCGUUCCUCCCACCGACGGUACCCAAAACCGGCCCUGAAAUGUCAUAAGCCCCCGACUAUCGGUAACAAAUUCCGAUACCAGCCCGACAACUCGCUCCCUCUUCUGGCUCUCUGGAUCCACAGCCUCAGCUUGGGCCCCACGAAUAGCAUCCAGCACCGGGGUCAUCACUGACAAUCUCAAACAAACAUCUCGAAUUGGGGCGCCCUCCGCCCUACGACUCAAUGCAUUAGCUACCACAUUAGCCUCGCCCGGGUGGUACAGGAUCUCACAAUCAUAAUCCUUGACCACGUCCAAACACCUCCUCUGGCGCAUAUUCAGGUUGGGCUGAUCCAUCAAAUACUUCAAGCUCUUGUGGUCCGUGUAUAUCGUACACCGAACCCCAUACAAAUAAUGUCGCCAGAUAUUAAGAGCGAACACUACCGCUCCCAACUCCAAAUCAUAAGUGGGGUAUCUCGACACAUGAGGCUUAAGCUGCCUUGAUGCAUAUGCAAUCACAUGCCCCCUUUGCAUAAGCACCGCUCCCAAUCCGGAUAUCGAUGCAUCACAAAAUACCACAAAAUCUUCCAUCCCUUCUGGAAGGGCUAACACAAGGGCCUCGCAUAAUUUUUUAAUUCAUUAGCAAAAAUUUUCUCAAAUCCUCAGUUUGAGUUCAGAUACGCCUGAAGAUGCAUCCGAAUCCCUCAAACCAAGGCUCCGAUACCAACUUGUAACAACGUGAAUUUUCAAAAUAGUUUUUCAUUUUUAAAACAUUCAUUCAUUCAUAAAUAAUGUCAAACACAUUGUAUCAAAUAUUAUUAUCACAAAACAUCUUCCCAGAAUCUCUAUAAAAACUCCAAUGCGUGUGUGUACGAAUCAUGCCGGCGCCUUCCCGUGCUCAUCACUAGUACCUGAAACACAUAACACAACAACUGUAAGCAUAAAUGCUUAGUGAGUUCCCCAAAAUACCACAUACAACACAUACGCCACUCAAGGCUAUAAUACGACCCUCCGGUCAAUGUGUCUCAGCGGGACCCUCCAGUCCCAUAGCUCGUUGGACCCUUAGGUCCGGUCAUAGGUCGUUGGACCCUCCGGUCCGGUCUAUAUCAUCAUACAACAUACAAAUAACACAUAAGACCCUCUAGUCAUCACAUAGUACCACUCUAAGUAACGUAUAGUGAGAAGACUCACCUCGAUGUCUCGGUAAAUAUCUGACUCGGAAGAAGUGUGAUCUAGCCUCCGCCUAAUCACAUAAAGUAAUACUCUCAUAAAUACAACUGAACUCAAUCCUAAAGUCAACAAGGUCAACGGUAAAACUUGACCCGACUCGGCGAGUGCACUAGGGCGACUCGGCGAGUUUACACGUGUCCACUGACUCUCUUAGAUUCUCUCUUCGCACGUCGAGUACUUCCCUUGACUUGACGAGUCCACCUGGCAUGAAUCGCGGGCCACCCCGACUCAACUCGCCGAGUCUCAAGAACAACUCGGCGAGUUCCAACUUGAACUCAGACCCCUGACUCUCCUUGACUCACCGAGUCAUUCCCCCAACUCGACAAGUCCACUCACUGAGUGAUUAACGGGCAACCUUCAUACUACUCGCCGAGUCUGUUCUUCGGACUCGGCGAGUUCAUGCCAUGCACAAACUCAAAACGACUUCUGAGGUUAGAUCUGUUCCAUACAAUCAUAGAUCUAGCCUCCCCAAGCAUGAUAAUCACGUAAAGUUCGGACCUUGACAAACAUACAACAUAGAAAUGGUCCAAAAUGGUGAUUUAGCCCUAAAAAUGUCAUUCCAAGCUCAUGACUUCCAAAAUGACUCAUAAAGCUCCAAGGGUUAAGGUCUUUGGACCUCUUUGGGUCCAGAUCCAGAACACAAACUCGAAGAGGGACCAAAUAUACCACUUAAUCAAUCUCUAAAAGGGUUAGGAAAACCCUAACACAAAGAAUCAACACCAAAACUGAAGAACGUCCGAGAAUAAUACCUCAAUGCAGUCUCUAUGAGCUCAAAACCACCAGAAAUCGUACCUCCUUCAGCCUCCUCUUGCCUUAAACACUUCCUUCUUGCAAAAACACCUACCAAAUAUCAAGAUUGGCCUCUCCUUCCUCACAAACACUCUAGAUCUCUUUAGGGUUUCUCUGUGGGGUGGAUGGCCACAAAUGACGGCCAUAAGGCCCUUUAAAUAGGUCUCAAACCUUGGAAAUUAGGGUUUCAUUAAACAGCGUGGACUCGCCGAGUCCGCUCAUAAACUCGCCGAGUCCAGCUGUGAACUCGCGUACAAAUCCACGACCAUACUCGGCAAGUCUAGACGCCAACUCGCCGAGUUCCCCCACAAAACCCAAAAAUAAAGGAACAAAAUGUCAUAUCUGGGAAUCCGGGUGUUACAGUUUAGUGGAGGGUUGUUUCUCUUAUAGCGGGUUUGGAGUCUUU